GAAUUGUUCAAUGAUGAAAUAGAAAAAAUAGGGAUGAAAGUGUAAUUGUGUAAUUAGAAGAGUCCAUUCCAUUGCAUACACCCCAAAUUGGAUGGAAAGGAAUAUUAAAGGAGAUAGUGGUAUGUGAUGGAAUAGAUUCCAUUGUAUUCCAUACCAUUCCAUCCAUUUUUUAUAAAUCCAGACAAUGGAGCAUGACUCUAUACCACUACAUUUCAUUCCACUC
rnacentral:lncRNA from 1 species